CGGUAACCGCGAUGAAAAUCCUGACGAAUGUGUUUGUUUUCCAUCAAGUGUGUUUUGAGUGUUUCUUUGUGAAAACGGAUGUGGGUUAGUUUUAACUGCAAAUUUAUGAGUAAGCGAAAAAUUAUCAGCAAGACUGGCCGCUCACUAAGAGUCUUAGGAUUUUGCUCGUUAAAGGACAUGGGACAUAUAUUUUUUCAUGUCGCAAUAUCAUUCAUUGCAGUUUAGUAUUCCGUUAAACAUUAUUUUUCCGGUUUGAAAACAUAUAUUUAAAGCGCAAUUUAGAAUGAAAGUUUGCUUAUUUCAAGGGCUGUUCCGCCAUCUUGAAAUGAGCAGCCAAAAUAAUUAUAUUUCAUAUGUGACGUCACAACAGGGAGACUUUGUCGCUGAUGAAUAUUGUUUAUAUUGCAAAUUGACAAGCAUUCUCAUUUAUUACGCAAAGUUUGGGACUUUACACUGCUGUUACAGCACUCAAAAUCGAAAAUAUUAACAAAGAUGCUAUGGUUCAGUCAUAUAUGUUUGAGUCAAUGCCAGAUGAAUUUGUAGAGAGUGAGAAUUCUGACUCAGAAAGUUCUUCGUCGAGCGAAGUAGAUGAUCAGAUAGACGAGGAGUUUGAAGCUAUGUAUAGUUGGCGUAAAACUUCACUCAGUUGCUGUAAAUGCGGCCAUUGUGAGUUUAUGGCAAAAACGAUUGAAUGCUUUUGCUUUCAUGAAAAAGCGGUUGAAUAUGACGAAUAUGAUGGCAAACUUAAAUCGGCACAGGAUGCAGGCUUGUCUUGCGUGACUGAACUUGCUUUCUUCAAUCAAAACAUAUCGGCAAACGUCCUUGAAAUAGAUACUUGGCAGUAUAUUGAAGAAAACAGUCCGUUAGGUGAUGACGAACUUGCAGUCAUACAAAAAAUAUACCGUCAUGUUGCGUAUCGAAGAUGUUCGAGAUGGAUUUUCCAUAUUCUUGGCAAGAAAUGUCGAAGGCCAUUUCCAUCUUGCAUGUACAAAUGCAUACGAGAGAAGUAUUGGUCAUCUGAUGCACUUUACACUCAUUUCAAAUAUGCCAAGUAAAUUGAAAUUGGAUUUGAGGUAGGACAGUCGCUUAUUGGUUUGGCCACAGCUUUUUCUCCUUUGUGAGCUUUAGGGUAUGCAACUGACCAUCUUUUAUCACCUUUUUGUGUUGUUGCUUGGGGUCUAUUAGCAUUUUCAUAAUAAUGUAAAUUUGCACAAAAUAA